CAGACCCAGAGCUAUCUGAGGAACCCACAGGACCCCGUGCGCCGGGCAGCCGUGGUGCUCAUAGGCUUCCUUGUCCAUCACACCAACCCCAGCCGCUUCGACCAGGAUCUGCUGGACUCCCUGUUCCAGGACCUAGGGCAGCUGCAGAGCGACCCUGAGCCUGCCGUCGUUGCCGCUGCGCAAGUAUCCUCCCAGCAGGUGGCACUGCUGGCCCAUGCGCUGGGCUGUCAACAGGGCCUGAGCUUUCCCCACCUCCGCCUGCGCCUCACCCUCCCCAUCAGGCCUCCACCAGUCUACCCAGACAACCCCUUCCAGCGCCGAAGCCUCGCAGGCCGGUGGGGCUGCUGUGGCGCACAGGGCUGAGCCUGACCCUGUGCCUGUCCUGGGGGGCGGGGGGGGGCUUGACCAAGUCUUGUUAGGGCUGGGCAUCUGAAUCCCUCAGCCCACCGCUCUGUGGA